AAUCAAGAGAGUCAAUGACAAGCCCUGGCUGGUUGACCGGCAACCCUCUGGUAGUAGUGGGGUGCUCCAGGUGACGAUUCGGCGUUCGGGGAACUCCGCAACGCAAGUACUGCAU
rnacentral:ncRNA from 2 species